rnacentral:lncRNA from 1 species
AACAACGCCACGUUCGGUGCACUCUCUUGAAGAGAGCACUGGCUUAGAAGACUCCGGUGACUGGGACGAUAAAAGUGGUCUUUAGGUUCCCCUGUACCCAUCGAUGGUGCACGAGAGACGUCUGACGCCGAGCAAGUCGAUGAGCAGGCAGACGAUGCCAACAAAGAACCGGUCCACCUACCGGACACUUCAUCGGCAGGCGGGGACUGCGGCGGGGGCGAGUCUCAACCUUCCCAACCGGAACUUCGACGCAGCACCCGACAAAGACGACCGCCUGACCGUUACUAAAA